rnacentral:rRNA from 1 species
GACGAACCGUCCAAACGUUAUUCGGUAUCACUGGGCUUAAAGCGUUCGUAGGCGGCCUGGUAGGUGAGGUGUGAAAGCCCACGGCUCAACCGUGGAACAGCGCUUCAAACCACCAGGCUUGAGGAUGGCAGGGGUAGUGGGAACUGAUGGUGGAGCGGUGAAAUGCGUUGAUAUCAUCAGGAACACCGGUGGCGAAAGCGCAUUACUGGGCCAUUUCUGACGCUGAGGAACGAAAGCGAGGGGAGCGAACGGG